CAUAGUACACUGCCUGUCUCCCCUUUCCUUCCCACAGUUCAUUUGGUAGAGGGAUUUAGAACACAGCACUCUAGUCAGACACUAAAGAAGUCUCAAUCCUCAAGCCAGAGAGCACACAUUCUCCAGCAUGUGUACCUGAAGCUACAGAAAAUUGCUCAAGCUAAGAGAAAAUGCCUCCACAACACCUAAGCUGCCAGUGUGUCUGGUGUUAGACAGUGGACCUAUUCUUGUUUUCACGGGAGCCAUGCUCGUCUUAAUUUGAGUAAAAGCUUGUUUUUCAAGAUUUCAUUAUGAUGCUUUAUGAAGCUGUCUUCAGACACACCAGAAGAGAUCAUCGGAUACCACUAGAGAUAGUCAUAAGCCACCAUGUUGUUGCUGGGAUUUGAACUCAGGACCUCUGGAACAGCAGUCAGUGAUCUUAACCUCUGAGCCAUCUCUCCAGACCCUACUCUACUCUUUAAACUGAAACAUCUUUCAAAUACAUGGCUUCCCUGCUGCCUUCAGACAUCCACAGAGCACAAGGGUAUGGCAGGAUGGACUAGGAAGUGAACUGUUACACAACUGCUGUGAGCCAAAAAGAAACAGCACGGCACACUGAUUCUCAACUAACAUCUGAACUGCAUGUGCUGUCCAGAAGAAAACACUGACAACUUUACUGAAAAAUGAACAAACAAACAAAAAAGCCCAGGGCUGUCCCAGAGUCUUAGCCAGACUGGCUCCUUUAAGCUCAGGUUGUUGAAGCUACUUUUUCUGCUUCCCUGCCAAUAAAUGUAAACUUUCUUCUAAUUCUGUAAUGAUGUGCCUACAUAUAUUCUAUUCCUGUAAGGCACCGAGUGCAGAUGGAAAACACCAGAAACAAGAAUUUCAUGCCUGCAUGUGGAAUUCACUCCCGCCAUUAUAAUUCUGACUAAGCAUUAGUUGCUGUUUUACAUGGAUUAUUAGCUAAACUAUGUAAGUAACAGACUGCUUAGUACAUUGUUCUUAAAGGGCAGCAUGGGGACUGGAAAGAUGGCUGAGCAGCACUUGCUGCUUUUGCAGAGAACCCAAGUUUGAUUCCCAACAUCCACAUGGUAACUUCUGAUCCAGGGAAUCUGAUGCCCUGUUCUGGCCUCACCAAAUGUGUGCACCCCAACACAUGCACAUGUGCGUGCACACACACAAACACACACACACACGCUGCUGAGAAGUUUUGAGUUCAUCAUCUACACACUUAAAGAUUUCCACAUUUUAUUUUCACUCAGAAAGUGUUUUUAGACUUAUAACGAUUAUUAAUAAAACCAAACUUUCCAAA